rnacentral:rRNA from 1 species
GAUGAACGCUGGCGGCGUGCCUAAUACAUGCAAGUCGAGCGAACAGACGAGGAGCUUGCUCCUCUGACGUUAGCGGCGGACGGGUGAGUAACACGUGGAUAACCUACCUAUAAGACUGGGAUAACUUCGGGAAACCGGAGCUAAUACCGGAUAAUAUAUUGAACCGCAUGGUUCAAUAGUGAAAGACGGUUUUGCUGUCACUUAUAGAUGGAUCCGCGCCGCAUUAGCUAGGUGGUAAGGUAACGGCUUACCAAGGCAACGAUGCGUAGCCGACCUGAGGGGGUGAUCGGCCACACUGGAACUGAGAAGCGGUCCAGACUCCUACGGGAGGCAGCAGUAGGGAAUCUUCCGCAAUGGACGAAAGCCUGAUGGAGCAACGCCGCGUGAGUGAUGAAGGUCUUCGGAUCGUAAAACUCUGUUAUUAGGGAAGAACAAAUGUGUAAGUAAGUAUGCACGUAUUGACGGUACCUAAUCAGAAAGCCACGGCUAACUACGUG